rnacentral:misc_RNA from 1 species
GAUGAAGAACGCAGCGAAAUGCGAUAAGUAGUGUGAAUUGCAGAAUUCAGUGAAUCAUCGAAUCUUUGAACGCACAUUGCGCCCCUUGGUAUUCCAUGGGGCAUGCCUGUUCGAGCGUCAUUUGUACCUUCAAGCUUUGCUUGGUGUUGGGUGUUUGUCUCGCCUUUGCGUGUAGACUCGCCUUAAAAUAAUUGGCAGCCGGCGUAUUGAUUUCGGAGCGCAGUACAUCUCGCGCUUUGCACUCAUAACGACAGCGUCCUAAAGUACAUUUUACACUCUUGACCUCGGAUCAGGUAGGGAUACCCGCUGAACUUAAGCAUAUCAAUAAGCGGAGGA